UACAGAGGUGGCAAGCGUUGUUCGGAAUUACUGGGCGUAAAGGGCGCGUAGGCGGUCUUGUCAGUCCCUUGUGAAAUCCCCCGGCUCAACUGGGGAACUGCACGGGAAACAGCAGGGCUUGAGUUCGGGAGAGGGAAGCGGAAUUCCGGGUGUAGCGGUGAAAUGCGCAGAUAUCAGGAAGAACACCCGUGGCUAAGGCGGCUCUCUAGUACGGUACUGACGCUGAGACGCGAAAGCGUGGGGAGCGAACAGG
rnacentral:rRNA from 1 species